rnacentral:misc_RNA from 1 species
GAAAUGCGAUAAGUAAUGUGAAUUGCAGAAUUCAGUGAAUCAUCGAAUCUUUGAACGCACAUUGCGCCCUGUGGUAUUCCGCAGGGCAUGCCUGUUCGAGCGUCAUUACAAACCCUCAAGCCUGGCUUGGUGUUGGGGCCCGCGAUCUCGCGGCCCUUAAAAUCAGUGGCGGCGCCGGUUGGCUCUAAGCGUAGUAAUACUCCUCGCUAUAGGGUCCCGCCGGUGGCUGGCCAGAACCCCCCAUCUUUACAGGUUUGACCUCGGAUCAGGUAGGGAUACCCGCUGAACUUAA